ensembl:misc_RNA Metazoa_SRP Metazoan signal recognition particle RNA
GCCGGGCGCGGUGACAUAUGCCUGUAGUCCCAGCUACUCGGGAGGCUGAGACAGGAGGAUCGCUUGAGUCCAGGAGUUCUGGGCUGUAGUGCGCUAUGCAGAUCGGGUGUCCGCACUAAGUUCGGCAUCAAUAUGGUGACCUCCCAGGAGCGGGGGGCCACCAGGUUGCCUAAGGAGGGGUGAACCAGCCCAGGUCGGAAACGGAGCAGGUCAAAACUCCGGUGCUGAUCAUUAUAUGGGAAGGUCAUUUAAGGUAGCCUCUUUACUAUUGCUUAUAUUCUUAGUUGGGUCAUCUUU